AUCGAACGCUGGCGGCAUGCUUAACACAUGCAAGUCGAGCGGGCAUCCUGGUAGUGUCUUCGGCGGACGGGUGAGUAACGCGUGGGAACGGGCCGUUCGCUUCGGAGUAGCUCAGGGUAACUUGAGCUAAUACCGGAUACGAUCGAGACCAGAGAGGUUUAUCUGCGGUAGGAACGGCGCGCGUCUGAUUAGCUAGUUGGUGAGGUUAUGGCUCACCAAGGCGACAAUCAGUAGCUGGUCUGCGAGGCUGAUCCGCCACACUGGGACGGAGACCCGGCCCAGACUCUUACGGGAGGCAGCAGUGGGGAAUAUUGGACAACGGCGGGAAGGAUGAUCCAGCCAGGCCGGGUGAGUGAUGACGGACUUAGGGUUGUAAAGCCCUUUUCUACGGGACGAUAAUGACGGUACCGGAGGAAUAAGCCCCGGCUAACUUCGUG
rnacentral:rRNA from 1 species